CUACGGGGGGCAGCAGUGGGGAAUAUUGCACAAUGGGCGCAAGCCUGAUGCAGCCAUGCCGCGUGUAUGAAGAAGGCCUUCGGGUUGUAAAGUACUUUCAGCGGGGAGGAAGGGAGUAAAGUUAAUACCUUUGCUCAUUGACGAUACCCGCAGAAGAAGCACCGGCUAACUCCGUGCCAGCAGCCGCGGUAAUACGGAGGGUGCAAGCGUUAAUCGGAAUUACUGGGCGUAAAGCGCACGCAGGCGGUUUGUUAAGUCAGAUGUGAAAUCCCCGGGCUCAACCUGGGAACUGCAUCUGAUACUGGCAAGCUUGAGUCUCGUAGAGGGGGGUAGAAUUCCAGGUGUAGCGGUGACAUGCGUAGAGAUCUGGAGGAAUACCGGUGGCGAAGGCGGCCCCCUGGACGAAGACUGACGCUCAGGUGCGAAAGCGUGGGGAGCAAACAGGAUUAGAUACCCUUGUAGUC
rnacentral:rRNA from 1 species